GAUGAACGCUGGCGGCGUGCUUAACACAUGCAAGUCGAACGGAAAGGCUCCUGCUUGCAGGGGUACUCGAGUGGCGAACGGGUGAGUAACACGUGGGUGAUCUGCCCUGCACUUCGGGAUAAGCCUGGGAAACUGGGUCUAAUACCGGAUAGGACUAUGGUUUGGAUGCCAUUGUGGAAAGUUUUUCGGUGUGGGAUGAGCUCGCGGCCUAUCAGCUUGUUGGUGGGGUAAUGGCCUACCAAGGCGUCGACGGGUAGCCGGCCUGAGAGGGUGUACGGCCACAUUGGGACUGAGAUACGGCCCAGACUCCUACGGGAGGCAGCAGUGGGGAAUAUUGCACAAUGGGAGCAAGCCUGAUGCAGCGACGCCGCGUGGGGGAUGACGGCCUUCGGGUUGUAAACUCCUUUCGCUAGGGACGAAGCGCAAGUGACGGUACCUGGAGAAGAAGCACCGGCUAACUACGUG
rnacentral:rRNA from 1 species